CGUAACAAGGUUUCCGUAGGUGAACCUGCGGAAGGAUCAUUACCUAGAGUUGUAGACUUUGCCUGCUAUCUCUUACCCAUGUCUUUUGAGUACCUUCGUUUCCUCGGCGGGUCCGCCCGCCGAUUGGACAAUUUAAACCAUUUGCAGUUGCAAUCAGCGUCUGAAAAAACUUAAUAGUUACAACUUUCAACAACGGAUCUCUUGGUUCUGGCAUCGAUGAAGAACGCAGCGAAAUGCGAUAAGUAGUGUGAAUUGCAGAAUUCAGUGAAUCAUCGAAUCUUUGAACGCACAUUGCGCCCCUUGGUAUUCCAUGGGGCAUGCCUGUUCGAGCGUCAUUUGUACCUUCAAGCUCUGCUUGGUGUUGGGUGUUUGUCUCGCCUCUGCGCGCAGACUCGCCUCAAAACAAUUGGCAGCCGGCGUAUUGAUUUCGGAGCGCAGUACAUCUCGCGCUUUGCACUCAUAACGACGACGUCCAAAAGUACAUUUUUACACUCUUGACCUCGGAUCAGGUAGGGAUACCCGCUGAACUUAAGCAUAUCA
rnacentral:rRNA from 1 species